rnacentral:rRNA from 1 species
AUACGUAGGGUGCGAGCGUUGUCCGGAAUUACUGGGCGUAAAGAGCUCGGAGGUGGUUUGUCGCGUCGUCUGUGAAAUUCCGGGGCUUAACUCCGGGCGUGCAGGCGAUACGGGCAUAACUUGAGUACUGUAGGGGAGACUGGAAUUCCUGGUGUAGCGGUGAAAUGUGCAGAUAUCAGGAGGAACACCGGUGGCGAAGCGGGGUCUCUGGGCAGUAACUGACGCUGAGGAGCUAAAGCAUGGGUAGCGAACAGGAUUAGAUCCCCUGGUAGUCCAUGCCGUAAACGGUGGGCGCUAGGUGUAGGGGUGUUCCACGACUUCUGUGCCGUAGCUAACGCAUUAAGCGCCCCGCCUGGGGAGUACGGCAGCAAGGCUAAAACUCAAAGGAAUUGACGGGG